rnacentral:rRNA from 1 species
CCUACGGGAGGCAGCAGUGGGGAAUAUUGCACAAUGGGGGAAACCCUGAUGCAGCGACGCCGCGUGAGUGAAGAAGUAUCUCGGUACGUAAAGCUCUAUCAGCAGGAAAGAAAAUGACGGUACCUGACUAAUACGCACCGUCUAACUACGUGCCAGCAGCCGCGGUAAUAAGUACGGGGCAAGCGUUAUCCGGAUUUACUGGGGGUAAAGGGAGCCGAGACGGCGCUGCAAGUCCGGAGGGAAAGCCAAUGGCUUAACCAUGGUACUGCUGUGGAAACUGUAGAACUUGAGUGCGGGAGGGGCAGGAGGAAGUCCUAGUGUAGCGGUGAAAUGCGUAGAUAUAAGGAGGAACACCGGCGGCGAAGGCGGCCUGCUGGACCGUAACUGACGUUGAGGCUCGAAAGCGUGGGGAGCAAACAGGAUUAGAUACCCGUGUAGUC